UACGGAGGGGGCUAGCGUUGCUCGGAAUCACUGGGCGUAAAGGGUGCGUAGGCGGGUCUUUAAGUCAGGGGUGAAAUCCUGGAGCUCAACUCCAGAACUGCCUUUGAUACUGAAGAUCUUGAGUUCGGGAGAGGUGAGUGGAACUGCGAGUGUAGAGGUGAAAUUCGUAGAUAUUCGGAAGAACACCAGUGGCGAAGGCGGCUCACUGGACCGGUAUUGACGCUGAGGUGCGAAAGCGUGGGGAGCAAACAGG
rnacentral:rRNA from 1 species